rnacentral:rRNA from 1 species
UACGGAGGGUGCAAGCGUUAAUCGGAAUUACUGGGCGUAAAGCGUGCGUAGGCGGUUCGUUAAGUCUGUUGUGAAAGCCCCGGGCUCAACCUGGGAAUGGCAAUGGAUACUGGCGAGCUAGAGUGUGUCAGAGGAUGGUGGAAUUCCCGGUGUAGCGGUGAAAUGCGUAGAGAUCGGGAGGAACACCCGUGGCGAAGGCGGCCUGCUGGGCCGAUCCUGACGCUGAGGCGCGAAGGCGUGGGGAGCGAACGGG